CGUGACGUUGAUGCUUCUUAGGGAUAGGCGCUAGACCCUUCGCUACGUAUUAUCCUACCGCCCACAAUUUGGUCGCGUAGCUUUGACGUCAUUGCCUCCGCAAAGCAUCUCCGUUCCGGAUCUAACGCGAUCUGUAAGGCGACUAGAGUGUAGUCAGCACAGUAAGCUUAGUACAGUUCCAAUAACAACAUGGAUGAAGCUGCAAUGGAUGAACUACAGAAGCUUGAAUAUCUAUCCCUGGUCUCUAAAGUCUGCACAGAGCUGGAUAAUCAUUUGGGUAUCAAUGACAAAGAUCUAGCUGAAUUUGUGAUCAGCUUAGCUGAGAAAUCUACUUCGUUUGAAAUCUUUAAAUCUGCUCUUGAGAAAAAUGGUGCAGAAUUCACAGAUUCCCUUAUAAGCAAUUUGCUGCGUCUGAUUCAGGCAAUGAGACCUCCAGCAAAACCUUCUACAAGCAAAGAAACUCUGAUCAAGCCAAAUGGUGAAAAAGAAAAGCUGAAAGAAUUAUUUCCAGCACUUUGCAGAGCAGAUAAUCCAACUGUCCGGACCAUGCUAGAUCCUGAGGAUGUGAAAGUGGCUGCAGAUGCACUGCAAGAACUUGAAGCACUAAUGCCGAAGGAGGAGAAAAGUAGCAAGCACAAGUAUAUAAAAAAAAGGAGGAGCCGCAGUCGAAGCCGGGAGAGAGGUAGUAAACAUAGACGUAGAUCUCGCUCUAGAUCCCGAAGCCGCAAAAAAGCAAAAGACAGAUAUAGAUCACGAAGCCGAAGCCCCGUUAAGGAGCACCGUUACAGUGAACAUCAUUCUGAUAAAAAUACCACGGGUUGGAAAGAGAAGCAUGUUGAUAGACCACCACCCGAAGAGCCAGCAAUUGGGGACAUAUACAAUGGCAAAGUGACAAGCAUCAUGCAGUUUGGGUGCUUUGUUUAGCUGGAAGGCUUAAGGAAACGUUGGGAAGGAUUGGUUCACAUAUCGGAACUGAGAAGGGAAGGACGUGUUGCAAAUGUAGCGGACGUAGUAAGCAAAGGACAAAGAGUAAAAAUUAAGGUGCUUUCCUUCACUGGAUGUAAAACCAGCCCCAGCAUGAAGGAUGUUAAUCAAGACACUGGUGAAGACCUGAAUCCCAACAGACGCAGAAAUCUCAUAGGUGACGGUAACGAAGAAGCGUCCAUGAGGAACCCAGACCGACCAACCCAUCUUUCUUUAGUAAAUGCGCCAGAAGUUGAAGAUGAUACCUUAGAAAGAAAACGCCUUACAAAAAUCUCAGAUCUUGAAAAGUGGGAGAUCAAACAGAUGAUUGCAGCUAAUGUUCUCUCAAAAGAAGAAUUCCCUGAUUUUGAUGAGGAGACUGGGAUUCUUCCUAAGGUGGAUGAUGAGGAAGAUGAGGACCUUGAGAUAGAGCUGGUUGAAGAAGAACCCCCGUUUCUUAGAGGACACACAAAACAGAGUAUGGACAUGAGUCCUAUAUAAAUAGUAAAGAAUCCAGAUGGCUCUCUCUCUCAAGCUGCUAUGAUGCAGAGUGCUUUAGCAAAGGAGAGACGAGAAGUGAAGCAAGCUCAACGGGAAGCAGAGAUGGAUUCUAUACCUAUGGGAUUGAACAAACAUUGGGUGGAUCCUUUGCCUGACGUUGAUGGAAGACAAAUUGCUGCUAAUAUGAGGGGAAUUGGAAUGAUGCCAAAUGAUAUUCCGGAAUGGAAGAAGCAUGCUUUUGGUGGCAACAAAGCAUCCUAUGGAAAAAAGACCCAGAUGUCAAUUUUGGAACAGAGGGAAAGUCUCCCCAUUUACAAGCUGAAGGAGCAGCUUGUGCAGGCUGUGCAUGACAACCAGAUCCUCAUUGUUAUUGGGGAAACUGGCUCAGGAAAAACAACCCAAAUCACUCAGUAUUUGGCAGAAGCUGGUUACACGACCAGAGGGAAAAUAGGCUGCACCCAGCCCAGAAGAGUCGCUGCAAUGUCUGUUGCUAAGAGAGUGUCUGAACAAUAUGGCUGUUGUUUAGGACAAGAGGUUGGAUACACUAUUCGAUUUGAGGAUUGUACAAGCCCCGAGACAGUCAUAAAGUACAUGACUGACGGUAUGCUCCUGAGAGAAUGCCUUAUAGACCCUGACCUGACACAGUAUGCCAUAAUCAUGUUGGAUGAGGCCCACGAGAGAACAAUUCAUACAGAUGUGCUUUUUGGUCUCCUUAAGAAGGCUGUGUGUCUUUGCAUGGCACUGCCUGCUCACUGCCAGAAAACCUGCCUGUCCUAUCAGCAUCAACUCUCAGCUUCCUGCUCUGAAAGAAAGAAGCCUCUAUUCAUGCACAUCUAUUCAAAUGGCAAUUACUGACUCACAUCAGGCAAUUCAAAUAGUGGUAUGGUUUGGACUAGUAAUAAGCAUAAGUAUAGACCCCCUCCAAUGUGUUGAACUGUGUGAAUGUGAUGUGUAAAGUUCUGGAGGCGCUUAAAGAAUGACAAUCACCAAACAUGAUGGUCCACUGUAGAUCUUCAUUGGUCCUGAGGUAUUGGGGAAAAGGGGAUCUUUAUGACUUUGGGUUAGUUUAUAGUGGGUUUAAUUCUCCUUUAAGAACAAGGCCAAAUAAGCAUGCAAAAUGAAAUCAGACACACAAACUAAAUAUGAAGCAGGAGUGAGGGACUCAUGACAUCUGAGUCAGGUAAAUUGGUUGAUGGAAACAGGGGAAAACCCAAGGGUUUCAACCACUUCUUUUUUCAUUUUACAGGAGGAGGAACUAGUUAAUAAAGCUGCCUUUUAAAAGACCCAAUUAAAUUGGUUUUAGUGUAGUUUAAGUAUACUUGUCAGGUUGACUCAAUGUAUAAUAAUGGAGCUUAGCACUGUGGUUACCAGACUACUUUACUUAUAGAUUUAACAUGAUUCUUUCAUGUCUGGCAUUGUGCCCAAGAUUUGUGAAUUGUUAUCUGGUGCCUUUAUUGGAAAAAGGACCCCCCCAUAUAAACAGGCCGGUUAGUUUGACAUCUGUGGUAAGAUAUUUUUUUCCAAAUACUUUUUUUUGAAGCACAGUUAGGAACAGGUUAAUGGUUAGUAUACUUUGCAUAAACGUCAGAAUACAUUGAAAAAUGCAAAUUACAUUGGUCUUUCAAUGCAAUUUCAAGGGUAUAACGUUUCCUGCAUGCUGCGCUACCGAAUGUUCAUAUAUAACUUAAAAUAUAAAUUGAACUGUAUAACAGGUAAACACAAGGUGGCAGAUUUACUAAAGGACGAAGUGUGAAUUUUAUAGAACGUUGCCUCUUUCGUCUGAGUUUCAUUCGCACUUUAGACCUGUCGAACUGAAGAUGAAGCUACAUCCUCCUCAAUCUUAUGUCAGUGACAUCAUAUCCUGUAUGUCGAAAAGUAAAAUGAUAAAAAAACGAUGGUGGUUUUUCAUGUUUUAAAGCGGGAUUGCCUUUAAAAGUUGUAGCUAUUAAAAUUCUUUGUUUUAACCGUUGUUUUACCAUGCCACAUUUUUUAGGGUGGGCUCAUGUCUAGGACAAUAAAGGAUUUUUUUGUCUUUA